CAGAGGCGCCGGCCACGGCCACGGCCACCCCGGUCCACCCUGAGGACCCCGGGUGGAGGCGCUGCGGUCGACGCCUGGCCGCCAUGUUGUUUGCCGAAUGUCGUCCGAGAUGACGAGGAGGGGACCCCGUGCCGGGGCCGCGCUGGAGGACCCGGACUGAGGGCACUGGGCGCGAGGGGUGGCAGCCGAGGCCUGCGAAAGCGUCAGGCGGUGAUAGGCACUGUCCGAAGGGGACCUGUAGGACGGGAUGUACGCACAGCCGACCCUUCAUGAGCGGCCCUGGCCUGGGGCGCCUGGACCCGAGUGCGAGCGCCCCCGCAAAGGGCUCGGAGCUGGUGGCCUUUUGCCUUUUUCACCCCAGCGCCUACCAAGCCGUCCGCCUUGGGGCCACUGCUCGCCCCUCUUUGCCCUGCUCGCAUUUCUCUCCUCGGGAGAGGCAGCCGCAAGUCUGUCUGCACAUCCUCGGGGACAGCAUGUCCUCUCAGCGACCGACCCCUUUCUGCACGCUCAUAUAGCCCCAGCCACAGCUUGGGGAGGGCUGCGACGCUGUGAGCCCCCGCGCCCCGUGGGGUAGUAUGGCCAGGCCACACUUUCCAUUUCUAUUCCUCUCGUCCCCCUUUUGACUGCCAGAUCCGCCUCUCCCUUCCCGGCCCCACUCGCCUACGUUUUGCUCUCCCCGCAACCCUUUGCUGCUUCCCAUGUCUUCCUUGUUCCUUUCCUUUUGUGAGUUACAGAUGGACGUACCCAAAUGCGGCUGUAUCAUCCUUAAUAUUAGCUCGUCAUAAAAUAGGGAUAAGAAUAGAUAAAACCGAGGAGAGCUUUUAAUCAAGGUAUUAAAACACCCUCCAUCCCACCAUAGGACACAUUGACAAUUUCCUUUCCCUUUUUGGCGCCCCCUCCUUUUCCUUUUCUCAGUCUACUGGAGCUGCGGAGACACCUGAUCUAAGAGAAGGGAGAGGAAGAACGUGCUGUAUCGCUUGUUAAAAAAGGAAUUUCCAGGAAAAUGCUCUUCAAGAAAGUAGCCAGCUCUCGUCCCAGGGAAGGCACAUCUUGGGAGGAUCAAUGCUCCCCUGAGGAGGCUGCUCCAGCUGAUUCCCACCAUAUCCCAGAUCCUCCCAGACUGUACCUGCGGGCCCAGGAAGGAGUGUCCACUGGGCUUUCCCAUUCCUGAGCUGAACUAUCCAAACUCUGUGAGGAUUGGGUGCCAUGGUGUCAUCGCAGAUCCUAGCAACCUCAAAACUCUUGGGCCCAAGUGAUCCUCUUGCCUCCGCUUCCUGAGUAGUUGGGACUACAGGUGCCUGCCUAAUUUUUCCUACUUUGAGUAGAGGGAGAGUUUUGCUCUUGCUCUGGCUGACACAGCUCAUUUUUUCUACUUUAAGUAGA